CAAUAGCGUAUAUUUAAGUUGCUGCAGUUAAAAAGCUCGUAGUUGGAUUUCGGGUGGGAAUGGCCGGUCCGCCGUUUCGGUGUGCACUUGCUACGCCCACCUUGCUGCCGGGGACGUGCUCUUGAGUUCACGCUCGGGACACGGAGUCGGCGAGGUUACUUUGAGUAAAUUAGAGUGUUCAAAGCAGGCCUACGCUCUGAAUACAUUAGCAUGGAAUAACACGAUAGGACUCUGGCCUAUCUUGUUGGUCUGUAGGACCGGAGUAAUGAUUAAGAGGGACAGUCGGGGGCAUUCGUAUUUCAUUGUCAGAGGUGAAAUUCUUGGAUUUAUGAAAGACGAACUACUGCGAAAGCAUUUGCCAAGAAUGUUUUCAUUGA
rnacentral:rRNA from 1 species